rnacentral:tRNA from 1 species
GCUUGAAUAGUUUAAAGGAAAACGUUGGUUUGUGGAGCCAGAGAUAUAGUUAAAUAUUUCAAGCA